AUGGGCGCAAGCCUGAUCCAGCCAUACCGCGUGGGUGAAGAAGGCCUUCGGGUUGUAAAGCCCUUUUGUUGGGAAAGAAAUCCUGUCGAUUAAUACUCGGUGGGGAUGACGGUACCCAAAGAAUAAGCACCGGCUAACUUCGUGCCAGCAGCCGCGGUAAU
rnacentral:rRNA from 1 species